GCCAGGCAUGGUGGUGCACGCCUGUAAUCCCAGCUACUUGGGAGGCUGAGGCAUGAGAAUCACUUGAACCCAGGAGGUGGAGGUUGCAGUGAGCCGAGAUCAUGCCACUGCACUCCAGCCUGGGUGACAGAGUGAGACCCUGUCUGUC
rnacentral:SRP_RNA from 1 species